AUACGGAGGGUGCGAGCGUUACUCGGAGUCACUGGGCGUAAAGCGUCCGUAGGCGGUCGGGUAAGUCGGGUGUGAAAGCCCCGGGCUCAACCUGGGAAGUGCACCCGAUACUGCUCGACUCGAGUGCGGGAGAGGAUGGCGGAAUUCCUGGUGUAGCGGUGAAAUGCGUAGAGAUCGGGAGGAACACCAGUGGCGAAGGCGGCCAUCUGGCCCGCAACUGACGCUGAGGGACGAAAGCGUGGGGAGCAAACAGGAUUAGAAACCCCAGUAGUCC
rnacentral:rRNA from 1 species